GCUUAACGUAAAUGGUACUCACCUAAAAAGUGAACCUUUUCAAUGUUAUGCAUAGUCUUCAAAAUCCCCCGCCUUAACGGGCGUGCCGGUUCGAGUCCGGCCUUGGGUGCCA
rnacentral:tRNA from 1 species